rnacentral:rRNA from 1 species
UAGUCUUUUAAUUGGAGGCUUGUAUGAAUGGUUGAAUGAGAUAUAUACUGUCUUUUUUAAAAUUAUAUAGAAUUUUAUUUUUUAAUUAAAAAGUUAAAAUAAAAUUAAAGGACGAGAAGACCCUAUAGAUCUUUAUUUUUGUUAUUUAUAAAUUAAAAAGAAUUUUAAAAUUUAUAAUUUAAUAAAAAAUUUUAUUGGGGUGAUAUUAAAAUUUAAAAAACUUUUAAAAUUUAUUAACAUAAAUAUAUGAAUAAAUGAUCCAGUUUUAUUGAUUAAAAAUUUAAGUUACCUUAGGGAUAACAGCGUAAUUUUUUUUUAGAGUUCAUAUCGACAAAAAAGAUUGCGACCUCGAUGUUGGAUUAAGAGU